rnacentral:rRNA from 1 species
GACGAACGCUGGCGGCGUGCUUAACACAUGCAAGUCGAACGGAAAGGCCCUGCUUUUGUGGGGUGCUCGAGUGGCGAACGGGUGAGUAACACGUGAGUAACCUGCCCUUGACUUUGGGAUAACUUCAGGAAACUGGGGCUAAUACCGGAUAGGAGCUCCUGCUGCAUGGUGGGGGUUGGAAAGUUUCGGCGGUUGGGGAUGGACUCGCGGCUUAUCAGCUUGUUGGUGGGGUAGUGGCUUACCAAGGCUUUGACGGGUAGCCGGCCUGAGAGGGUGACCGGACACCAGAGAGGCGCGACACCGCCGCGGCUGCUGGCAGGGGAGUCGGGGGGACAGUGCGCCAAAGGGUGGGAAGCCUGACGGAGCAACGCGGCGUGAAGGGGGUGGGCCCUCGGGUUUGACACCGCUGUAGCGUGUGCAGACGAAUGACGGACGCUAAUGGGUACAAAAGCACCGGCUCACUACGGGAGCGAACCCGCAGUAAUAGCGGGAGUACCACCUGGCCCCAC